UACGUAGGGGGCAAGCGUUGUCCGGAUUUAUUGGGCGUAAAGCGCUCGCAGGUGGUUCGAUGCGUCGUGCGUGAAAGACCCCGGCUCAACUGGGGAGGGUCGUGCGAUACGGUCGAACUGGAGGCCAGUAGGGGGAUGCGGAAUUCCGGGUGUAGUGGUGGAAUGCGUAGAGAUCCGGAGGAACACCAGCGGCGAAGGCGGCAUCCUGGACUGGUCCUGACACUCAUGAGCGAAAGCGUGGGGAGCGAGUACCG
rnacentral:rRNA from 1 species